rnacentral:rRNA from 1 species
AGUGGGGAAUUUUGGACAAUGGGGGCAACCCUGAUCCAGCCAUUCCGCGUGAGUGAAGAAGGCCUUCGGGUUGUAAAGCUCUUUUGUCCGGGAAGAAACGGUUUCACCUAAUACGUGAGACUACUGACGGUACCGGAAGAAUAAGGACCGGCUAACUACGUGCCAGCAGCCGCGGUAAUACGUAGGGUCCAAGCGUUAAUCGGAAUUACUGGGCGUAAAGCGUGCGCAGGCGGUUGUGUAAGCCAGAUGUGAAAUCCCCGGGCUUAACCUGGGAAUGGCAUUUGGGACUGCACGGCUAGAGUACGGCAGAGGGGACUAGAAUUCCUGGUGUAGCAGUGAAAUGCGUAGAUAUCAGGAGGAAUACCGAUGGCGAAGGCAGGUCCCUGGGUCGAUACUGACGCUCAUGCACGAAAGCGUGGGGAGCAAA